rnacentral:lncRNA from 1 species
CAAUCAUAUUCCAAUAUAUAAAUGAAUCAAAUCAACGCAUUGUACACCUUAAAUUUACACAAUGCUAUAUGUCAAGCAUAUUUUAAUUACUAAGAAAAAAUAAUAGGAGCUAACACUGGUAUAUGUCAGGCACUGGUCUAAGUGUUUCUAUAUAUUAACUUAUUUUAAUUGAAUUAUCAAGGACAAUCCUAUGAAGCGGAUACUAUGAUGUCUCCGUCUUACAGAGGAAAAAUCGAGGCACAGAGAGGUUGAGUAAUUUGCCCAAGUUUACACAACUAGAAAGCAGUAGAAUUGAGGUUUGAACCCAGAGAGUCACAUCCUUGAACUCGUCCUCUUAACCACAACAAUCUUGACUGCCUCAAAUUCUUGGAGCUCCUAGAAACUUCCUUUCGCCUCAAGGCUGUCACAUCUGUUUCUCCGUCAUGCUUUAGUGGUUCUCCAGUAGAGGUUUGGGAAUGCACAUUGGCGCCUUCAGCCUGGGAGGGUACCAUUUCCCACACUGCAGCGUUAUUUUUCUGAAAUGUCUAUGCUGCUUUUUAGCUGAUACUGUCCCCUUGCCCUGACUGAAGGUUUGAUGAACCCUCUGGAUUAUAUAAUGUGGUGUGAACUCUCUUCCUCUGGCCGUAGAAGAUGAUGGUUCUCAGAUCACUGACAUGAACAUUUCCUGUCCUUCCCAGCUAAUGAGGAACAGCCUUUCCAGGAAACGUGUGCUUUGUAGAGUCUGAUAUUAAGAGUCAGCCUGAGAAUGGGGUGCAGUUAAGUAUGAUUAAAAGUAGAAGAUUAAAAAUGUUACAACAGGAAAUGGAAAAGAAUGAGAAUUAUGAACAAGGCGGCUCUUGCUACACUUUGACCUCAAAAAGAAGCUACCUAGUCACAUGAGAAGGUGAAGGGAUGCUGUUACCAUAAAUCACUGUUAAAAUUCACAUUAACAAAAUUACAUUUACACAUGAGGAGAGGGAAAGCUAAUUGGAUUCUGAUGUAGCCAAACUAAUCAGUAUUCUUUUCCCAGGCAGAAGAUAGGAUUUAUACAGAGAUGCCACUGGCAUAUUAAUGGCCGUUGGUGAACAGCACUAAAUGGUUUGGGGUAACUAUUAGCAAUGAACCGGCUUUUUAAUCUAACCUCAUAGAUGUGAACCAAGAAAGAUUAUCUUCUAAGACACGUGUAGCCAGAGUGUAGCCUCAACUUAGCACCAGGUUCUAAGCAAAACAUUUGAACAUCUUUGGGCGUCAAAACCAUGGGUGGAUAGUCGAUGACAGAAAUCCAAUGACAGCAUGAGAGAUGAGUAUUAGAGAGUAACAUGUGGGUGGGGUUGUGAAAAACAGCUUCUAAACUUGGAGAAAAAAAUGAAUCCUUCCUUUUCUUCUCCCCUAACCUGCCUUCAUACACUCCAGGGUUUCUCCUUUAUCCCUAUCCAUCAUAAAGUAAGGAAAGAAUAAACAUUGGCAUGCCACUUCAGCAAGGUCUGAUGUCCACUCAAAAUGUUUGGCCUGGAGACCAGAUUUCUGCUUCCAGCCAAGAUGGAGUACCAAGGACCAGAAUUACCCUCCCUCUUGAAACAACCAAAGACCUAGAAAGUGUAUGAAACAAUGAUGUUCAAGACACUGAAUAUCAGGUAACAAAACGUAAUGACCUAUGUGAGACAGGAAAGUGAGUCCUGUAAUUGUCCCAACUCACUGCUUUGAGAUAAUGUACAGGCCACAGUUCAGGGAAGGGAAACACAGAGAAAGACCUGAGUUGAGGAGAUAGACCUGAGAGAUGGAGAAGAUCAAGGCAGCUGGAGUGCUCAGGACAGAACACAAGGAAAAAGAGAGAGAGAUCCACAGAGAAUCAUAUAAAAUAUAAAUGGUCUAAAUGUCCCAAUAAAAAGGCAGAGAUUGUGCAUAAAAAAUUCAACUAUAUGUUGCCUACUAGAAAUUCCUCUUAAAGAAAAACAUGAAUUGGUUAAAAAGUAAAAGAAUGGAAAAAGAUACACCAUGCUAACAGUAAUCAAGGAAUCAAAAGGAAACUGGAGCAACUAAUUAACAUCAGACAAAGUGUAUUUAGAGCAAAGAAUAUCUCCUGGGACAAGGAGGGUCAUUUCAUAAACAUAAAGAGGUCGAUUCACCAAGAAGGCAUAACAAUCCUAAACUUUUAUGCACCUAAUGAGAGAGCAUCAAAAUACAUGAAAAACUGAUAGAAGUGCAAGGAGAAAUAGAUAAAUAAACAAUUAACCAGAGAUUUCAGUUUCUCUCUCCCAAUAAUUGACAGAACAAGUAGACAGGAGACUUCAAGAAGACAAGAACAACACUAUCAAUCACAUUGACCUAAUUGACAUUUAUAGAACACUUCACCAUAUGACUAAAGAAGACACAUUUUUUUCAAGUGCACGUAGAUCAUUUACUGAGGUUGACUAUAUUCUGG